UUGAACGCUGGCGGCAGGCCUAACACAUGCAAGUCGAACGGUAACAGGAAGCAGCUUGCUGCUUUGCUGACGAGUGGCGGACGGGUGAGUAAUGUCUGGGAAACUGCCCGAUGGAGGGGGAUAACUACUGGAAACGGUAGCUAAUACCGCAUAACGUCGCAAGACCAAAGAGGGGGACCUUAGGGCCUCUUGCCAUCGGAUGUGCCCAGAUGGGAUUAGCUAGUAGGUGGGGUAAAGGCUCACCUAGGCGACGAUCCCUAGCUGGUCUGAGAGGAUGACCAGCCACACUGGAACUGAGACACGGUCCAGACUCCUACGGGAGGCAGCAGUGGGGAAUAUUGCACAAUGGGCGCAAGCCUGAUGCAGCCAUGCCGCGUGUAUGAAGAAGGCCUUCGGGUUGUAAAGUACUUUCAGCGGGGAGGAAGGGAGUAAAGUUAAUACCUUUGCUCAUUGACGUUACCCGCAGAAGAAGCACCGGCUAACUCCGUGCCAGCAGCCGCGGUAAUACGGAGGGUGCAAGCGUUAAUCGGAAUUACUGGGCGUAAAGCGCACGCAGGCGGUUUGUUAAGUCAGAUGUGAAAUCCCCGGGCUCAACCUGGGAACUGCAUCUGAUACUGGCAAGCUUGAGUCUCGUAGAGGGGGGUAGAAUUCCAGGUGUAGCGGUGAAAUGCGUAGAUAUUAGGAGGAACACCAGUGGCGAAGGCGGCUUACUGGACGACUACUGACGCUGAGGCUCGAAAGCGUGGGGAGCAAACAGGAUUAGAUACCCUGGUAGUCCACGCCGUAAACGAUGUCGACUUGGAGGUUGUGCCCUUGAGGCGUGGCUUCCGGAGCUAACGCGUUAAGUCGACCGCCUGGGGAGUACGGCCGCAAGGUUAAAACUCAAAUGAAUUGACGGGGGCCCGCACAAGCGGUGGAGCAUGUGGUUUAAUUCGAUGCAACGCGAAGAACCUUACCUGGUCUUGACAUCCACGGAAGUUUUCAGAGAUGAGAAUGUGCCUUCGGGAACCGUGAGACAGGUGCUGCAUGGCUGUCGUCAGCUCGUGUUGUGAAAUGUUGGGUUAAGUCCCGCAACGAGCGCAACCCUUAUCCUUUGUUGCCAGCGGUCCGGCCGGGAACUCAAAGGAGACUGCCAGUGAUAAACUGGAGGAAGGUGGGGAUGACGUCAAGUCAUCAUGGCCCUUACGACCAGGGCUACACACGUGCUACAAUGGCGCAUACAAAGAGAAGCGACCUCGCGAGAGCAAGCGGACCUCAUAAAGUGCGUCGUAGUCCGGAUUGGAGUCUGCAAUUCGACUCCAUGAAGUCGGAAUCGCUAGUAAUCGUGGAUCAGAAUGCCACGGUGAAUACGUUCCCGGGCCUUGUACACACCGCCCGUCACACCAUGGGAGUGGGUUGCAAAAGAAGUAGGUAGCUUAACCUUCGGGAGGGCGCUUACCACUUUGUGAUUCAUGACUGGGGUG
rnacentral:rRNA from 1 species